AUUGAACGCUGGCGGCAUGCUUUACACAUGCAAGUCGAACGGCAGCGCGGGCUUCGGCCUGGCGGCGAGUGGCGAACGGGUGAGUAAUGCAUCGGAACGUGCCCAGUAGUGGGGAUAGCCCGGCGAAAGCCGGAUUAAUACCGCAUACGACCUGAGGGUGAACGCGGGGGACCGAAAGGCCUCGCGCUAUUGGAGCGGCCGAUGUCGGAUUAGCUAGUUGGUGGGGUAAAGGCUUACCAAGGCGACGAUCCGUAGCUGGUCUGAGAGGACGACCAGCCACACUGGGACUGAGACACGGCCCAGACUCCUACGGGAGGCAGCAGUGGGGAAUUUUGGACAAUGGGGGCAACCCUGAUCCAGCCAUGCCGCGUGCGGGAAGAAGGCCUUCGGGUUGUAAACCGCUUUUGUUCGGGAAGAAAUCCUCUGGGCUAAUACCCCGGGGGAUGACGGUACCGGAAGAAUAAGCACCGGCUAACUACGUG
rnacentral:rRNA from 1 species